CCUCUUGUGGAAUAUUUCGCAUAGACUAUACCAUGGAAACCAGUGUGUGGCAAUGCUCCUGCUACAAA
rnacentral:pre_miRNA from 1 species